rnacentral:rRNA from 1 species
AGUGAACGCUGGCGGUAGGCUUAACACAUGCAAGUCGAACGGCAGCACAGUAAGAGCUUGCUCUUACGGGUGGCGAGUGGCGGACGGGUGAGGAAUACAUCGGAAUCUACUUUUUCGUGGGGGAUAACGUAGGGAAACUUACGCUAAUACCGCAUACGACCUACGGGUGAAGGCAGGGGAUCUUCGGACCUUGCGCGAUUGAAUGAGCCGAUGUCGGAUUAGCUAGUUGGCGGGGUAAAGGCCCACCAAGGCGACGAUCCGUAGCUGGUCUGAGGGGAUGAUCAGCCACACUGGAACUGAGACACGGUCCAGACUCCUACGGGAGGCAGCAGUGGGGAAUAUUGGACAAUGGGCGCAAGCCUGAUCCAGCCAUACCGCGUGGGUGAAGAAGGCCUUCGGGUUGUAAAGCCCUUUUGUUGGGAAAGAAAAGCAGCAGGUUAAUACCCCGCUGUUCUGACGGUACCCAAAGAAUAAGCACCGGCUAACUUCGUG